CCUACGGGAGGCAGCAGUGGGGAAUAUUGCACAAUGGGGGAAACCCUGAUGCAGCGACGCCGCGUGAGUGAAGAAGUAAUUCGUUAUGUAAAGCCCUAUCAGCAGGGAAGAAAAUGACGGUACCUGAGUAAGAAGCCCCGGCUAACUACGUGCCAGCAGCCGCGGUAAUACGUAGGGGGCAAGCGUUAUCCGGAUUUACUGGGUGUAAAGGGAGCGUAGACGGCAGUGCAAGUCUGGAGUGAAAGGCGGGGGCUCAACCCCCGGACUGCUCUGGAAACUGUGUGGCUGGAGUGCAGGAGAGGUAAGUGGAAUUCCUGGUGUAGCGGUGAAAUGCGUAGAUAUUAGGAGGAACACCAGUGGCGAAGGCGGCUUGCUGGACUGUAACUGACGUUGAGGCUCGAAAGCGUGGGGAGCAAACAGGAUUAGAUACCCGAGUAGUC
rnacentral:rRNA from 1 species